rnacentral:misc_RNA from 1 species
UUAUCAUUUUAUUAGAGGCUGCGAUGACUUUGCGUUAAAAUGAAUAAUGAUAAUCCAAAUAUAAUAUUUAAUCCACUAAUUAGUUCCAUACAAAAAGUGGUACUUUAUGAAACACGAUCGCGCCUGUACUUGGUGGGCAGCAACAAUCGCGAGACAAGAUUUCGCUUGCUCACCAUCGAUCGGCUGGCGCUGAAUCGCUUGAUCAUCGAGGAGAAUGCGAACGAGUUGAACAGUUUGGAGAUUCGCAGGUUUGUGUCCUCAUUAACGGGAUCGCCAAAAAUAACCUCCGCCUACGGUGUGUUGGGUUUCGUGCGUUUCCUGGAGGGGUAUUACCUUAUACUGGUUACCAAGCGAAAAUGCUGCGCCCAUAUUGGCAUGCAUCUGGUGUAUACCAUCAAAGAUACCGUGAUGGUGCGCGUCAAUGAGGUGACCUCACAGCGACCUCCACAUCCGCAUGAGGAGCGCUACAAGAGGAUGUUCCAAAAUAUUGAUUUACGCAGCAACUUUUACUUUUCCUACUCGUACGACUUGACUCGCACGCUGCAGUACAACGAGUCGGCGCCACGAUAUGUGGGUGCCAAGGUGAAUCUAGAGCGGGAUGAGCCGCUGCCCGAUUGGAAUACGCUUACCAACAAUGUCGCGCAGGCGCACGAGCGUGUCGACUAUGCCUUUCGCAGCGAUUCACGCAAGCGUUUUGUGUGGAACGCUUAUCUACUGAAGCCUAUGGAGGUCAUUAUGCUUAAGGACUGGCUGUUGGAGGUCACACAUGGCUAUGUAAGCCAGUCGUGCAUCAGCAUCUUUGGCAGACAUGUGAAUGUUUGUCUAAUAGCGCGUCGCAGCACACGCUUUGCUGGCACGCGGUUUCUCAAACGAGGCGCUAAUUUUCGUGGCGACGUAGCUAAUGAAGUCGAAACGGAACAGAUUGUAAGCGACGGGCAGCGACUAUGCGCUUUCACGCAAAUGCGCGGUUCGAUACCGUCGCACUGGUCCCAGGACAUUAGCAAGAUGGUGCCAAAGCCGCCCAUACAGCUAGACAUAUGUGAUCCCUAUGCUCAAACUCCGUCACGGCAUUUCGAACGCCUUCUGUUUCACUAUGGUGCUCCGCUGAUUAUGCUGAAUUUGGUAAAGAAGCGUGAGCGACGGAAACACGAGUCCAUAAUUUCCAAGGAACUGCAAAACAGCAUUAAGUAUCUUAAUCAGUUCUUGCCGCCGCAGCAUCGCAUGAAGCACAUUCACUUUGAUAUGGCACGUCAGAGCCGGAUCAGCGGGGGCAAUGUCAUGGAACAACUGGCCGUGCACGCGGCGAGUAUGAUACAGAUGACAGGCAUGUUUUAUAAGGCUCAUCGGGGCAGUGAGCUCAGUUUCCAGACGGGCAUUGUGCGUACAAAUUGCGUAGAUUGCUUGGAUCGCACCAACUCGGCGCAGUUUGCUAUUGGAAAAUGCGCUCUGGGGCAUCAGUUAGAGCGGCUGGGUUUUGUUAAAUCAGCCAAACUGGAGUUUGAUUCGGAUUGUGUGACUAUGCUGGAGCAUCUGUACGAAGAGCACGGUGAUACUUUGGCUCUGCAGUAUGGCGGAUCACAGCUAGUGCAUCGCAUUAAGACCUAUCGUAAAACGGCCGCCUGGGCCUCUCAGGGCAAUGACGUUAUGCAGACUCUAAGCCGCUACUACAGUAAUACAUUUAGCGACACGGAGAAGCAGCAGAGCAUUAAUUUGUUUCUGGGCCUCUACAAGCCGAGUUUUAACAAGCUAAACCAACCAAUUUGGGAGCUUCAAACGGAUUACGAUAUGCACAAUGCCUUUGUGCCGAGCACUUCGAUAGCUCCUAUCACGGAUUGGGUGCGGCAUAAGGUGCGCGAGUGCUUACCCUUUCCCUGCGCCGACACCAACAAGCUGGUCAAGGAGUUGUUUCGUGUGCAUAGCAAUGGCUUAGAGAUGAUUGAUGCCUUCUCGAAUUACCACCAGUCCUUUAAGUGGACGGAUUUGAGCGAGCACAUUGAAUUUGAGAUCAGCCAACUCGCCACGCGAUACAUGCCCACAUUCCGCACUAACUACAGUCCCUUCCAGCGUCAGAUACAGCCAUCGCGAAAGGGUCGACAAAAUCCAUCGAUGACUGGCCAAAGUUCUACCGGUUCCACCAACAGCAACUCCUCUAGUUCCAGCGAGGGCGAAGACAGCUCCAGCGAUGAAGAACUUAGUGCCAGCUUUGCAGAAAAAGAGUCGAAACAAACGGAAACAGCCGAACCAACCCCAUUUAGGCUGGCUUCCAUGCUACCACCCAUGGAAGAGGUAUAUGGCUGCACCAUCAGUUCCCCAUCCAAACAGAGCAUGGCUAUUUACAAAAAGUAUGUUCAAAUGGGCAAACUAUCUAGCGGUGGCACACAGCCAGGCCAAACGGCCGUAGCUCAACGCGAACAAGAGCUGGCCCAGAUGAUGCGUGGCAUCACACUACGUCCACUAGGUGACUACGGCACAGAUUCUUAUCUCAGUGUGUGGCCGCCAACAGUACCUGCAAAGAGUCUUCUCGUUUAUGCGGAAUACUGCAAAACGCCACGAAACUUUAAUGCGGUGCCUAAAUUUGAAGAAAGUGAUUUAUUAUAUGGUUAUUUUCAAAAGCUGGAAAGUACCCAGGUCAACUUAACAGGUGAUGCUUCAAUAUUGAUGAAGUCUAAAAUCGUUGACAGGGCAAUAGCAGUCGUAUAAAAAUAUUUUAUGUGCCGUUAAAGCUGUUCAAAUUCAUCAUGGGAAUUGGGAUGAAUAGUGAAGCU